CCGUCCUCGGCUUUCGAGCGUUACAGUCGCGAGUUCGGAUCGAAAAGGACACUGGGCGAGUGCAGAGCGUUCAAAGUGGAUGAGUGAGGAAACCGAAUGCCAGCGAAAUCAAAAAUAAUCAAUUGAUAAAUACAAAUAUUAAACAGAUAUAAAAGCGAGAGCCCCAAAUGAACCAACGUAUUAAGAGUCCGAAGCGUAAGCGAAAGGCGAACCAAGUUUUGUAGCAUACUUUUUUGGGUUUACGUCAUGUUUGUCUACGCGAACCGCCAUUUGUGCUUGUGUGCCUGAGUCCGCACACAAACACGCACACCAUUAUGUCGCCUGUAUUCGUGCCUGUGUCUGUGCCUGUGUUUGUGCUUGCAUUGGUGUCUGUGAGCCAGAAUGCAUGCCAAUCAGUAUCAGAAUCAGAGUCCUCAAUCCUGAGUCCUGAGUCCUGAGUCCUGAAUCAUCGACUGUCCAAACAUCGUGCAUUGCUUUUGUCCGCCUGGGCUAAUUAGCUGCAGGUAGCAGGUAGCUGGUCCUUGUGCCGUUUUACCUUCAAGCUAAGCAAAAACGUAGUAAAUGAACAAACGAAAAAACAAUAGCAUCAAAUAUCAAAAGUCCAAAUCAAAACAAGACAAACAUAAAUGUAAAUUGGUAUGCAAAUAAACUAAACAAUAAUUGCCGAUGCAACAACAACAACAACAACAGAUCAAACAAAUAC